AUUCAUUCUCAGCUUGCUGUUCUGCUGUGCUGCAGCAGAUUUUUCCUCAGUAGCUGAAGAAAUCUGUGCAAUGAGAAGAAUGACAUUUUAACCCAACAAAAUAGCUCAACAUUGUUACAAAUGCAAUGCCUCUCCAAGGCAGUCAUCCAGAAGGAAAUGGACAGAGGAAGCUUCUUAAAAUGUGAUCCGGUCUCAGGCCAUCCAGUCAACCAUGGCAGAGCACUUCUGAAAAUAUUUAUUGGUUAAAAGAAAAAGGAAAGAAAGAAGAAAAUCAUCAAAAGGUGAAGCCAAACUACUUACUUGAGCAGUUCCAUUCAGCUGGGAGAAUAUAAUCUUCUUUUUUUUUUUUUUUUUUUUAACUCCAGAAAAUAAUUCUUAAAAUCAUUAAUUUAAGAGGCACUCUCCUUUGUGUUCUACUGUCACCAUACUUUCCGCAGCUUUGAGGUCAAAGAGGCAAACAGCUGUGGCAAAUGAAUCCAAGCAAGCAGCCUGGUACUUCGUCAUGGGGAAGAAAUAGAUUGUGGCAAGGCAUCUGUAAAAUUUCCCUAAGGCCAUCAUGAUACAGUAGCUUAAAAAUGACAUAUAGCUUUGCAGUCUCAAAGUGAUCAUUUAGAUUAGGUUAACAGAAAGAAUGUUCUUUGUAACGAUGAGAACAACAAACGCCAACCAAGAAAUAUCGAUGUUUCAGCAGAAACACUUACUUAAAUUGCAUUUGGUCACCCCCCACGGAGAGGAGAGGAAACCUUUUAGCACUCAUAAAAGUGAGAGAUGAACAGCACUGUCCAGAGCCAAGCCUUUUGGAGGUGGAGGUAAUGUGUGAAACACCGCUCACAGCACAGCCAGUGCUCCCAAUUCCCAGCCUGCCCUGCCCAUUUCUGCAGCUGAGCAGGCUGCGGGCCCUGCUGCUCCAUCUUGCUCAGGAAGAUGAUGGUUUUGUGAUGCAAAUGAAGACUGACUGAAAACCACUGCGCUGAUCAUCUUCCUCCAGACCACCUGCACUGGUUUUUCCUCUUCUGAGACCUGGAUAUCCUUGAUGGAAAAUCAAUUCAUUUUUACUGUGGCUGCUCUCAGGGGUGGUGACACAGUGCCUGCUGCCCUGCAGAGACCCCCUGUGCAGAGCUGAAUGGCAUAAGGAGAUGAGAGACGUCAACGACAAGAGGAGAGCAGCUAUUUCCACCAAGGCCCUAACACAACUAACAUACUGCAAAUGCAGAACUGAUCAUCUCACUCAGUCAGAAGUGCUUUUCGCUCCUCCAAAAUAAAUGUCCAUGGACUGGUGGGUUGGACAAGGUCCUAAGCAGAGAACCGUGAUGGUGACGCACACUGAAUGGCACAAUAUAUAUAUUUUUUCCUUUCUAUGGUUUAGCACAUUCAUGCCACAAUAGCACAAUAGUAGUGUUCUUGCCAGAAGUGCUGCUGUGCAUCUGCCCAGAGAGUUGCCCUCAGCGUGAGCCACGUGGCUGUGCUGCAGCUGUGCACACAGUGCCCAGUAGUGCCAGGGGCUGCAGCAAGGCUGGCUCAACACACCUUCUGGAGACAGAGGUUUGAGGUAGGAGUGUGGCUGCAACCACACAGACACCCCGAUCCUACAGAACUUGAAGAUGACAUCAGAGCAGUUCCCUUACAGCAUACAACCAUAUAGCUGAUACCAGCCCCUUGUAACAAAACACUCUAUCGGGGUAAAUGACAGCUGAAAUGUAGUCAGCUUUGCCUUGAAGAGAGAUCUUUAACAGACCGUAAGUUAUGUCAUGUUCUAAAAAGAGUAAAUGCCUCUGAUGAAUUUACAUUACCUUGUUUAUUGUCAGCUAGAGGUUUCUUGCUACUUACCAGAUUUUUCCUUUCAGCAAACCAUCUCCAAUAACAGACUGAAAAGUUACUGUGGAAUUCUGUACUAAAAAUAGCCUUGGAAAUAGAAAACAAUCUACAAAGAAAAAUGGGUGUAUACAUCAGGGAUUUCUUUAGCUGAUAGCUUUGUAGUUAGAAGGAAUAUUUUGGCUAAAUGACAAAGAUGUGCUGUCCUGAGACCAUUUAAGAG
ensembl:lncRNA